UGAAUAUUGUGUGGAUCUCGCCUA
rnacentral:siRNA from 1 species